CAAUAAAACUGGCUAUUGGCAGAGGGGAAUCGAACGUCUGACUUGUGAGUCUAAAAGAGCCAGCUGUUCCAGCCUCCAGGAUUCAGUGAGAACUUCCUAUUUCAAGUUAUAUCAAAGAGCCAGAGGGUCUUGGUUGGUGGGUCUGAUGAGGGUAUCUCAGAAACAUUGUAUUGAGACGGUGGAGGGAACCAGUAACCACAGCCUA
rnacentral:lncRNA from 1 species